rnacentral:rRNA from 1 species
AGCGAACGUUUGCGGCGGGCUUAACACAUGCAAGUCGAACGAGAAUCCCUUCGGGGAGGAAAGUGGCGCACGGGUGCGUAACACGUGGAUAACCAACCCAUUGGUUUGGGACAACACCGGGAAACUGGUGCUAAUACCAGAUGUGUCGCAGCUGUCUUCAGGCGGUUGCGAGAAAGGCCCGCAAGGGUCGCCAACGGACGGGUCCGCGUCCCAUCAGCUAGUUGGUGAGGUAAUGGCUCACCAAGGCAAAGACGGGUAGCUGGUCUGAGAGGAUGAUCAGCCACACUGGAACUGAGACACGGUCCAGACUCCUACGGGAGGCAGCAGUGGGGAAUAUUGCGCAAUGGGCGAAAGCCUGACGCAGCCACGCCGCGUGAGCGAUGAAGGUCUUCGGAUCGUAAAGCUCUGUGGGGGGANAAGAAGAAAGCCGGUGAAGAGCCGGCCCUGACGGUAUCCCCUUAGCAAGCACGGCUGACUCCGUGCCAGCAGCCGACGG